rnacentral:rRNA from 1 species
UACGUAGGGGGCGAGCGUUGUCCGGAUUUAUUGGGCGUAAAGAGCUCGUAGGCGGUUCGAUAAGUCGGAUGUGAAAUCUCCACGCUCAACGUGGAGGGGCCAUUCGGUACUGUCGUGACUCGAGUCCGGUAGGGGAGUGUGGAAUUCCCGGUGUAGCGGUGAAAUGCGCAGAGAUCGGGAGGAACACCCGUAGCGAAGGCGGCACUCUGGGCCGGUACUGACGCUGAGGAGCGAAAGCGUGGGGA